rnacentral:misc_RNA from 1 species
CGAUGAAAAACCUUUUUUUCUGAGGUGCGGCCCGCACCUGUCCAACUAAACUAGGGCUACCUUUUUUCAACACGGUUGCAUCGGUUGGGCUUCGAAGCAGAGGGAGGCAUGCGAAAGCGUGUGUUCCUCUACGUCGACCUAACACCUUUACAAACACUUUUGAUGAUCUAGGAUUUGGAAGAAUUUAUUAUUUUUACGGCUGGUAAUGCGGUCGUACUAAAAAUCUUAAAAA